CUAGAGCCCAGUGCGCUGUUUUCCUGGAAAGCAAGAAGGCACGGCACCUCUGACGUGCCUUCAGGCACGGUAGAGGAUCUGGUUCCCCCUAAUCUGCCCUCCCCGAAUCAGGCCACCACCGUAGCCGCCCUCCCGAAUCGCGCCACCACCGCGGCCGCUCUCCCGAACCGCACUACCGCCGCCGCCCCGCCCCACGGCGCGCAGCUCCCGGCCUCCCAGAAGCCGCCGCCCCGCCCCCCGGCGCACCGCUUCCGUUCCUCCCACCGCGCUGCCGCCCUGCCCCAUGGCGCCCAGCCGCUCCGCCCUCCACCGCCUGAUCUCCGCCGCCCACCGGACCUGACGAGCAGCGCCACCCUUGGCCACGGAUAGGGGCUGCGGCCUUCUCGGGGCGCCGCCGUGACCUUCCCAGAGGGGCCACCGCGACCUUCCCCAGCUCUGCCCUCCGCUGUGGCGGCCGUCGGCGGCCUUCUAUCCAUGCUGGAGCUGCCCCCCCCCCCCCCCCCCCCCCCCCUCCCGCCUGGAUCCGGCUCCGCACAGCCCCCUCGCCUGGAUUUGGCCCUGGCGUCGCCCCACUCCUCGGUCCGGCAGCCGCACCGCCCCCGCGCCUGGGUCCAACCAUCAGCACCCCCACCCCUGGCAAACGAGCGUCGGCAUCCAUCGCCAGUCCCCAAGCACACCGCCCAAGGGCCCACGCCCCAUCCCCCGACACUAUCCUGCCUCGCUGGCGCACCAUGGACGUCUUCCUCUUCUGCCUAGAACUUCUUCGUCGUUGGUGCUUGCGUGCGCACGACAGCCACAUGUGGUGUGAGGAGAAGCCAAGCUAAAAGAAGAACACACUUUCUUCACACGCGUGUGCACGCAAGACAGGCACAGAGAAGAUCGGAGCCACCGACCCCAACAGCGGAACAUCAGCUAUGAUCAAGUUAGCGCAAAGGUUUUCUGUGCUGCAAAAGCAAGGAUGGAGGCCUCGAAGGACCAUCAUUUUCUGUAGCUAGGAUGCAGAAGAGUACGGAUUGGUUCAAGACCCCGACAAUUCAUCUCAGACGGUUUAUGAUUCAUGGGUCAAAUCCAAUGCUUCUCCCAACAUUCAACGACUGGGCAAUGGAGGAUCAGACUAUGCAGCAUUCGUUCAACAUGUUGGCAUUCCAUCAACCAACUUGAUAUUUGGAGAAGGGCCAGGAUAUCCUGUUUACCACUCUUUAUACGAUGAUUUUGUAUGGAUGGAGAAGUUUGCAGACCCUAGGUUCUGUUGGCAUGUCGCAGGUGCAGCCCCGUAUUCAUUUUGUGAUGUGUGUUACUCCCUCCGUUUACAAAUAUAAGAUGUUCUAACCUUUUUCUGAACCGGAUGCAUAUAGUCAUGUUUUAGGGUGUAUGUUCACUCAUUUUAGUUCGUAUGUAGUCCAUAUUGAAAUAUCUAAAACAUCUUAAAUUUGUGAAAGGAGUGAGUAGUACUUGGUUGCUUCACAGCAUAACCAACAUCAUCAUCUCACAGCUGCUAGCCGCUGCAGCAUCAACGACAACAGCGUGGCGCUCCUGGUGCUCCUCUCCCUCUCCUGCCUUGCAUGCUACAAUGCCACCGCCUCCUUCCUGUACAAAAGGUUUGAGUGAGGAAAAAUUCCAGCUCAUGAACGAACAUGAAGAAGUUCUAAUGUGAUGGUGCUAUUCUCUGUAGUUAUUUGUUUCUCGUGAAUGCAUUUGGUUGUGGCUGAUGGAUCUCUAUCUUAAUAUAUUCUUUGCUUUAUUUUA